AUGAACGUCAUCAGCGCCAUCUUCGCCCUGCUGGGCAUCGUGGCCUUCAUCGUCGACCUCAACCUCAACGUGCUCUACCACUCCAACCUUGACUACCACGGAUACCUCGUCCUGGUAAUCCCACUUUCAGGAAUUCCCGCCCUCGGGAGAACCCCCCCGGAGUGUCCUCCGCCCCUCAGAGGGGCGCCGUGGCCCCCCCCAAAGGCGCUUUUGGGGUGGGGGUUUGGCGCGUCUGCCGGCGUUGACCUAUUUCAGGUCGGUCCCUCGGGAGAUGACUCACCCUUUGGAAGCAUCUGCGAGCCGGAAAAACGGCGGGAUCAGAGUGCUCACAGAGCCGGGAGUGCGGCGGGAAAGGAGGGGGGAGCCCCAAAGCGUGGCGUGGGGUGGGAUUCUUCCUCCUGGGCGCUUCCCAGGGAGGUGCUGAUGGGGUUUUCCCCCCACCCUGGAGCUCGCAGGGAACGGGAUUUCCAUUGUGCUCCUCAUCUUCACCGUCCUGGAAUUCUGCAUCGCCGUGGCCACUGCCAACUUCUGGUGCCGGGCCACCCGGCUCAGCUCCAACGAGUCCAUGCUGAUCGUCCCCAGUGCCACCCGUGUGGACCUGGCCGUGCCGCCGGCGGAGCUGCCACAGCCACCCAGCUACACCGAGCUGGCUGCUCCUGAAGUCUGACACCGGAAUGGGAUCCUGCCUCCAUCGCUCCCAAAUCCAGGGCUACGGCAUCGUCUUCCCGCUGGGAUACGCUGGUCCCACCCCUCCAAAAGCCAGCGAGCCCCUCCCCAAAUUCCCACUCUCCUGCCCAUCCAUCUGCCCCCGUGCCUGGUCUGAGGGGCAUUCCUUGCUGGCUGCUUUGGGAAGGGGCUUCUCCGUGCGGGACUCUUGCGGAAUUCCCGCCCGUAAAUCCCCAGUGGGAUUCUGGGAUUCACUCGUGUCAGGAUUCAGGACUUCCCGGGGUUCCGGUGGCUUGGAGCAAUCCCGACGUGUGGAUCCACCGGACCGUCUACCUCGGCUUGUCCCGCGUUGGCUUGGUUUUAUCUUGGGAAUAAACGCUCGGUCCGGGCUUGUGGCUCCUGAAUU
rnacentral:lncRNA from 1 species